rnacentral:rRNA from 1 species
UACGGAGGGCUCAAGCGUUGUUCGGAUUCAUUGGGCGUAAAGGGUGCGUAGGUGGCGCUGUAAGUCGGGUGUGAAAUUUCGGAGCUUAACUCCGAAACUGCAUUCGAUACUGCGGUGCUUGAGGACUGGAGAGGAGACUGGAAUUCAUGGUGUAGCAGUGAAAUGCGUAGAGAUCAUGAGGAAGACCAGUGGCGAAGGCGGGUCUCUGGACAGUUACUGACACUGAGGCACGAAGGCCAGGGGAGCAAACGGG